rnacentral:rRNA from 1 species
GACGAACGCUGGCGGCGUGCUUAACACAUGCAAGUCGAACGAAAAGGCCCUGCUUUUGUGGGAUGCUCGAGUGGCGAACGGGUGAGUAACACGUGAGUAACCUGCCCUUGACUUUGGGAUAACUUCAGGAAACUGGGGCUAAUACCGGAUAGGAGCUCCUGCUGCAUGGUGGGGGUUGGAAAGUUUCGGCGGUUGGGGAUGGACUCGCGGCUUAUCAGCUUGUUGGUGGGGUAGUGGCUUACCAAGGCUUUGACGGGUAGCCGGCCUGAGAGGGUGACCGGCCACAUUGGGACUGAGAUACGGCCCAGACUCCUACGGGAGGCAGCAGUGGGGAAUAUUGCACAAUGGGCGGAAGCCUGAUGCAGCAACGCCGCGUGCGGGAUGACGGCCUUCGGGUUGUAAACCGCUUUCGCCUGUGACGAAGCGUGAGUGACGGUAAUGGGUAAAGAAGCACCGGCUAACUACGUG